UACGAAGGGUGCAAGCGUUACUCGGAAUUACUGGGCGUAAAGGGUGCGUAGGUGGUUCUUUAAGUCUGCUGUGAAAGCCCCGGGCUCAACCUGGGAAAUGGCAGUGGGUAUACGUGGAGAGCUAGAGUGCGGUAGAGGGUAGUGGAAUUCCCGGUGUAGCAGUGAAAUGCGUAGAGAUCGGGAGGAACACCAGUGGCGAAGGCGGCUACCUGGACCAGCACUGACACUGAAGCACGAAAGCGUGGGGAGCAAACAGG
rnacentral:rRNA from 1 species